CUGAAUCACUGCUUGGAGGAGAGCCCUGAAGGGGAGCCUCCAACCCCACAUCAGACUGUGACUUGAGCAAGAAAAGAAACAUAUUGGGUUAAGCCACUGAGAUUUGACAGUUUUUAUUGCAGCCUACUCAAUCCUAUCCUGGAUCUCUUCUCAGGGGUAUCUUCACAAGUCCUAGGAUUCAUUCUGUUACUACUUGAACAUACAUGGGUCAUAUAUCCAUCCCCGAAACAAUUAUUAUGGCCAAGGAGGAGCUGGCACAUUGAUUGUUCAAGUUUGUGUCACAUGUGAUAUUCCUGGUAUUAGACAUAGAAACUUGGCAAACAAAUGGAUCGAUAUUGAGGUCAAACUCUGAGGAUAAGCAUAUAUCAAACCAGGCCAUCACUCACCAAACUGAGACAAAACCUCAACGCCCUCUAGUGGAGAGACUGUUCCAUGCUCCAUUACGUGGGACCAACCCUCUGACUCCCAUGGAAUAUGGUUUAUCAGCCUUUCCCAUUUAUAACAUGAUGCCUGUUCCAAGGAAUGAUGAGAGCAGCAGAGCACAGUGGUUAAGAAUAGAAGGGUGGAGCUAGAAGCACUGACUCCGAGUCCAAAGGAGCCAUUUACUAUCCAUAUGAUCUUGGACUAGUCACUUAGAUCCUCAUUUUCUUAGUUCCCUCAUCUGUAAAAUCAAAACGAUGGUGCCAGUACCCAGAAAGCCUAGGACUUAACUAAGAAAAUCCAUGUAAAGGAGGUAGAACAAUGCCUAACAUGUAAAAAGCACUCGAUGACUGUUACUUAAUAUUGCUAUUUCAUCAGUCUUAUGAAUAAAUAAUAAGGUAGCAUGAAUAAAAGAUUUGAA
rnacentral:lncRNA from 1 species